UGCAAAGCUAGACAGUUUCUGGCAGGUUCUCAUUGAACACUCGCUUCUGAAAGACUGCUACUUGCUCCCUUUGAGGUCCCAGCCCUGGUCAACAGUCCCAGCUGAGCCUGUAUUUAGCCAUUUCAGCUCAGACUCCAGGCUUGUGAAGAAAGAUGCCAUCUUGUAGGUGGACCCUCCAGUCCAAGCUCAUCACUUGCUCCUUGAAUGAAGAUGAAUGAGUCAGAGAGUUCAUUUGGAAUUUGAGUUUACCAAGAUAUGAAAGGCAAAGGUGUCUUCGUUUUAUUUCCAAAAAAGCAACAGCAACAGUCCUUAGAAGAAAAGUGAAAAAGUGACUAAGGCUGAUUGUCAACUCUAUCAUGACCUGCAACUGAAACCAGAGUGAUUUCUCUAUGUCCCUGGAAUUAUGGGAAUAAGAAGAAGGAGGCGAAAUUCUAUUUUUUCUCAUCUAUGUUAUUCAGAA
rnacentral:lncRNA from 1 species